CCAGGAUCCACCCUUUCCCAGACCUCAUUUAAGGGCUGGCAGUAGAGAUGAGAAUAUCUUGUUGGAGAUUCCUGUGUACCUGAGACCUUCUGAAGGCAUAUUACUCUCUGAGGCUUUCACUAGAUUGCUGCAGUGCAUGGAACUCCUUCUCACCACUUUUUCACCUAGGAAGGGGGAGUCUUUGUGGAUAACAACAAGGUUGCAGUGUCUCCUGGCUGCUGGAGUUGUGGUUGUUGGCUGACAGGGACCAUCAGAGCGGCAUCUGCCAGAGCUUCAGUUGUCCCACUUCCUCCAUAUUCAUCCAGAGGACAGUAUUUGCAAGCAGUAUUUCCCAGUGACAAUUACUCCCUUUAUUUAUUGCUCCUCUCUCAUCCCCCUAUGGCAUCAGUUCUAUAGAAACUACCAUACUGGUGAUAUCCUGACUACAGUGGGCAGAGGAAAGCACAGAAGAACGGUCAGGUUGCUUUUACCCACAAGGCAGAAAUUUCAAGGAAAUCUAAUCCUCACACACUUUCUCUUGAAAAGAGAUCCACUGGCAAAUUACUUCUGCUUUUAGAUAGACUUACAAGUUCCCACUUGCUUAUCUGGUUAACAGUGUCAGUCACUUAUACUGCGACACCAGGAAAUCUGAUUCCCACUGUUGGUGUGAGAGCAACCUGUAGGCGCUUGACCUUUUUAAUGUUCUGUAAUUCGAUUGGGUGGCUGUUCUGUAUUUCCUUGUCACUAGCCCAGUAAUCUGAGAGGGAGAAGUGGAAAAGACAGCCAGUAAAGAUACAAGCAAUCACAAGCGGGAAUUUGUUGAGGCCUCAGGUUUCCAAAAUUACUCAAAGUAUCUUCCUCAUGUGGAGCUUGGAUGAAGCGUGGCUUGGCUCUUCAUCCUGGAAAUGGCUCCUACAGGAGCCCUCUGCUCACACAGUGGCUGCUUGGCCAAAACUCGGUGCAAAGGCCAAUGCUGACUUAUGCCAUGUGAAGAUCUGUGCCUUUUCUGAUACAAUGGUGCAGAAGUGCAGUUCUUCAGGAUGCAUGUCCUAGAGAAACACCAGCAAGUGUUCUGCUGUGUUUUUAUAAAAUACCUUGGCAAAACUGGGCCUCCAACCGAGGAUCUGUAAUUUUAAUCUCUGGGGUGUGACUGAGUCAAUAUUCCAUAAGGAUUGGAUCCAGGGAUGUUCCUGCUCAGCACAGGGUGUUGAAUGCAAACGUUUCAGUUAAGCCCUCUCUGAUAACCUUCUGAUUCCUAACUGAUAACCUAACUGAUUCCAGUUCUGGGGAUCCCAAUCAUCCUCAAAUCCCAUUUUAGGAUCCUAUCACCCAAAUUAUCUUUUGAGGAGAUACUCCAAGUUUUGCAGCAUCACAUCCUUUCUCUGUUCUAUGCCAAUAAUUAGCUCUUUCAGUGACAGAACUUCCCAAAUUGUUUUGAAGAACUCUUUUUCUGAAAAAAUCAUUAUACCCAGGAGAUCCAGCUUAAAGGAUUCUUGGAAACUGUAGGAGAUAAGCUCCAAGUCAGGCUAAGACUUCGUAUGCUUGCGAUAUCUCAUGUUGAUAUUUUGCUCUCCUGAAGCUAAAGGUGAUGCUUCUUAUUUCCAUGCACACGUAUACAUACGAACUGCAGCUGAACACCCAGAUCCCUCUGACAACUAUAGGAUGUUGAAGAAUUUCAGCUCUUCCAGCCUUGGGUGAUGCCUGACCUGCCAGUACCUCUGAAUCAGUGCUGCCAAUGAAGAAAGGGGAAGUGACCAAUUCUCAAUGAAAUCAGUACCAUGUAAUUUUUGGACUGGAGCCACAGCUGGUGUUACCCUGGCUGACCAUCUUUUCCUGCUCCUCUGAUUGCUCUGUGUCUGAAAACAUUUCAUGGAAAAGCAAAGCAAAGUUCAGGACUUAUCACGUACAAUAGAGCAUUAUAUAGUGAUCUCUGGGUGCUUAGGAGUCUUUCCAUUGAUUUCAGGGCUGUGGCUCAAACCUUUGAUCAGCAAAGUGGGACCAGUGCAGAGACGGGGAAGUUCUCCUGUGCUGUUGGCCCCAUGGAUCCCCUUGACUCAAACAAGGUCAAAACCUCAAUUUCCAUAGCUGUAAAAGAGUGAUAAGACUAUUUACUGCAAGAUGCCUGAGUACAAAGAGUGCCAAGGAUCAUCCUGACUAAUGACUAGGUGAUGUCACAGAGGAAGGAGUUGCAUAUAAUAAAAACAGGUUGUUUUUCACGUGGGUUCACUUGGGGUGCAAGCUGCAAGUAUGAGCUUGGGGGUUUACCCUUUGUUGUGUGAUUCUUAUGUAAAUAAAAGAGCAUGUUAGAUCACUACAUUCUAUAGAACAGGUGCUUUGGUGGAAUUGUUAUCACCAAGAUAGAAGGAAGCUCCCCGGAGGGAUGGGCAUGCCAAAUUCUCUUUGGUUCCCUCUGGAGUCAGAUGGACAGAGAGCAUCUCUCAGUGACAGAUGAAGCUGCUGGCAGACAGUUACCCAGCUUGUUUCUGUGGGUGGAUAUAGGAUGUGAGGAGAACAGGACUGCAUGCCAGUGGGCAGCCCCACCAUCCAAGAUUGACAAUCCUUUCUGCUAAGCCCUUUCAGUAAUUCCCAUGGCUGGUAGCAGUGUUUGGGUUUCAGGCAAUGGUGCCACAAAGCCACAGGCUCUCUUGUGAUGAUAACAUACUCAUCAACAAGCUGCUGCAGAGCAUAGCUCAUUCAGAUGGCUCUGGCCUUGCCUUCUCUGCAAGCAAGCUCUCCUCCUCCAGGAGUGGAUGCCAUUGCUCCUGUUGAGAUCAGGCACCAGACAGCAGCACACAGCCAUCAGCAUUCAAGUCCUGACAAGUCCUCUCAAUCUCCAGAACAAAAUAAUGCACUAAUCCAGGCUGCAGAAACCAGAAGGAUAGGCUCUCUGUUUACUGAGAACAGCACAGGUCUCAGCAUAGGUCCAUUAAUUUGCCCUAAAUGUCUCUAAUUUGUGUAUUCUGUUUAUUUUUGUCUGCCUUUGUUUCUAAUUACGGUGUGGCUCUUGGUGGUUGGGUUUCAGUUUGCUUUUUUUUUUUUUUCUUUUUACUCUUUCACAACAGUUUUAGCAGCCAUUUCUAUAGGAACGAUAUCUGGAGAGCUCUGGAAAUUGAUUGCCAGCAGAAACUGGGAGCUGGUUCAGUCAAGAAAACACAUCCAAGGAGAUUUCUCUGUGGGAUUUGCCCCUCAGAUUACAAUGUGAUGACCAUCUGCCUGCAGGAGAGGCCACGUACCUCACUCAGAGGUAUCUUCUCACUCACUGAUGAGAAGGACUUCACUUCCCCUCUCUGCUGACGCAGGACAUACUGUGUAGCCUUGAGCCAGGAUGGAGCUCUUGAUCACUGCAGUAAUAUACAGUAAAUGUGCCACUUUUCUCCAUAGAUUAAGCACAUCAGUGCUGUUGACCUGGCCAAAUGGCAAUCUUCAGAAGUUAUAUAAAAGAGAGACCUCUGAAAGCAGACUUAAAGGUCUUUUCCAGCCUCAAUAAUUUUUUAAUUCUAUGAAGAAUAUGAGGAUUGAGCAGGCAGUUUACCCUUCCUGAACUGAAUGUUGGUAGGUCCUCCAUCUUUUGCUCACAGUGUAACAGCGAGGCUGAUAAAGGAGAUUUGAAGAAAAGACUUUUCUGAGAAACAUGGUAUGGCCUUUUAGCCCUAAGUGGUUCCACCAUUGCCAGCACUUCAAAUGAGAUUUACAACUAGCUGAAGGCUCAGCAAGACAAAAUGAGUCCUUACCAGCUGCUCUUAGGUCAUGUUACAACUCGCAGACUGAGUGCUGUGGUUUCAUAGGAGUUUGCAGCGGCUGCUGAUGCUUUCUGCACCUAAACUCAUGUAGUUUGUGAUCAUUCUGCUGAGAGCUGUGGAUCUGCAUACUGCACACUGUUCCAGUGUGCCCAGAGGGAAUGGAUGCUCUGAUAAGGAAAAAGUUUUGCUUUUGGAAGACUUUAUUUCUUCUGGAUUUUGCUGACUGGGAUCUCCUGCUCAAGCAUGAAGCCUUUCUGAGAACUUUUAUCAAUACUCCAGACAUAGUUCAUGUGA